CAAAAAAAGAAACAAUUCCUGAGAGGUUUUAGAUUUUACAUUUGUUUUUUUCUUCUAAAUAGACCUGUUCUUCAUCUUUCUGAAGUUUUUCUUGCUCUAAAAUAACAGUCAUAACUUUCAUGUCUACAGUAUAUGCAACAAACACAAACUUGAGAUCCCAAGCCCAAGCCAACACUUCCACAGGGCACAACGAAAGACCUGCCCAUCCCCCCAAAUCAUCGGUCUUAAUCCACACUACAUAUGCCUCGGCUUCCCCGCUCUCUAACCAAAGACGGCUCCCCAGCGUCCGGUUGUACACCCACACCUCUCUUCUCCUGCUGAUAACUGGUGCUUCUACGAUUUCAAAGGCAUGUUUGAGCUGAAGUGCAGAUCCUAAUGUUCUUCCCUCUCUCUCGCAGUGUAAUUAUUAUUUUGAAAGUGCGGUCUGGGGAGGCUGUCAGGGUUUGGCACAGUCUAUGGCAGUAAUGUGCUGGGUGUUUUAAUACAGCUUGACUUCUGUUUUAUAAACUCUGAGGGCAAACAUCA